CCGGGGGGGUGCUAUACAUGCAAGUCGAACGAGUUCUGAUUAUUGAAAGGUGCUUGCAUCUUGAUUUAAUUUUGAACGAGUGGCGGACGGGUGAGUAACACGUGGGUAACCUGCCCUUAAGUGGGGGAUAACAUUUGGAAACAGAUGCUAAUACCGCAUAAAUCCAAGAACCGCAUGGUUCUUGGCUGAAAGAUGGCGUAAGCUAUCGCUUUUGGAUGGACCCGCGGCGUAUUAGCUAGUUGGUGAGGUAACGGCUCACCAAGGCAAUGAUACGUAGCCGAACUGAGAGGUUGAUCGGCCACAUUGGGACUGAGACACGGCCCAAACUCCUACGGGAGGCAGCAGUAGGGAAUCUUCCACAAUGGACGCAAGUCUGAUGGAGCAACGCCGCGUGAGUGAAGAAGGCUUUCGGGUCGUAAAACUCUGUUGUUGGAGAAGAAUGGUCGGCAGAGUAACUGUUGUCGGCGUGACGGUAUCCAACCAGAAAGCCACGGCUAACUACGUGCCAGCAGCCGCGGUAAUACGUAGGUGGCAAGCGUUAUCCGGAUUUAUUGGGCGUAAAGCGAGCGCAGGCGGUUUUUUAAGUCUGAUGUGAAAGCCCUCGGCUUAACCGAGGAAGUGCAUCGGAAACUGGGAAACUUGAGUGCAGAAGAGGACAGUGGAACUCCAUGUGUAGCGGUGAAAUGCGUAGAUAUAUGGAAGAACACCAGUGGCGAAGGCGGCUGUCUGGUCUGUAACUGACGCUGAGGCUCGAAAGCAUGGGUAGCGAACAGGAUUAGAUACCCUGGUAGUCCAUGCCGUAAACGAUGAAUGCUAGGUGUUGGAGGGUUUCCGCCCUUCAGUGCCGCAGCUAACGCAUUAAGCAUUCCGCCUGGGGAGUACGACCGCAAGGUUGAAACUCAAAGGAAUUGACGGGGGCCCGCACAAGCGGUGGAGCAUGUGGUUUAAUUCGAAGCAACGCGAAGAACCUUACCAGGUCUUGACAUCUUUUGAUCACCUGAGAGAUCAGGUUUCCCCUUCGGGGGCAAAAUGACAGGUGGUGCAUGGUUGUCGUCAGCUCGUGUCGUGAGAUGUUGGGUUAAGUCCCGCAACGAGCGCAACCCUUAUGACUAGUUGCCAGCAUUUAGUUGGGCACUCUAGUAAGACUGCCGGUGACAAACCGGAGGAAGGUGGGGAUGACGUCAAAUCAUCAUGCCCCUUAUGACCUGGGCUACACACGUGCUACAAUGGAUGGUACAACGAGUUGCGAGACCGCGAGGUCAAGCUAAUCUCUUAAAGCCAUUCUCAGUUCGGACUGUAGGCUGCAACUCGCCUACACGAAGUCGGAAUCGCUAGUAAUCGCGGAUCAGCACGCCGCGGUGAAUACGUUCCCGGGCCUUGUACACACCGCCCGUCACACCAUGAGAGUUUGUAACACCCGAAGCCGGUGGCGUAACCCUUUUAGGGAGCGAGCCGUCUAAGGUGGACAAAGGUGG
rnacentral:rRNA from 1 species